rnacentral:rRNA from 1 species
ACGGCUCAGUAACACGUCGAUAAUCUAACCUUAAGUUUAGGAUAACCUCGGGAAACUGAGACUAAUACUUGAUAGAGGAUUGGUACUGGAAUGUUCUUUCCUUGAAAAGCAAUGCUUAAGGAUGAGUCGGCGGUGGAUUAGGUAGUUGGUGAGGUAAUGGCUCACCAAGCCGAAGAUCCAUAGGGGCCUUGGAAGAGGGAGCCCCGAGAAGGGCACUGAGAAACUGGCCCUAGCCCUACGGGGUGCAGCAGGCGCGAAACCUUUACAAUGCACGAAAGUGUGAUAAGGGGACUCAGAGUGCUUUACUAUGUAAAGCUUUUGCCAAGUGUAAAUAACUUGGAGAAUAAGUGGUGGGCAAGACUGGUGCCAGCCGCCGCGGUAAUACCAGCUCCACGAGUGGGAACUACAAUUAUUGGGCCUAAAGCGCCCGUAGCCGGUUUAAUAAAUUUCUUGUGAAAUUGUUGCGCUUAACGUAACAACGUGCAGGAAAGACUGUUAAACUUGGGACUGGGAGGAGUUAGAAGUAUCUUUGGGGUAGCGGUAAAAUGUUAUAAUCCUAGAGAGACUACCUAUGGCGUAAGCAUCUAACUAGAACAGGUCCGACGGUGAGGGACGAAAGCUAGGGGAGCAAAACGGAUUAGAUACCCGAGUAGUCCUAGCUAUAAACGCUGCGAGCAAGAUGUUGCUUAUUCUUCGUGAAUAAGCAGUAUCGAAGAGAAGUCGUUAAGCUCGCCGCCUGGGAAGUAUAGUCGCAAGACCGAAACUUAAAGGAAUUGGCGGGGGAGCAC